rnacentral:rRNA from 1 species
AUUGAACGCUGGCGGAAUGCUUUACACAUGCAAGUCGAACGGCAGCACGGGGGCAGCCCUGGUGGCGAGUGGCGAACGGGUGAGGAAUACAUCGGAACGUGCCCGGUCGUGGGGGAUAACGUAGCGAAAGUUACGCUAAUACCGCAUACGAUCUGAGGAUGAAAGCGGGGGACCUUCGGGCCUCGCGCGAUCGGAGCGGCCGAUGUCAGAUUAGGUAGUUGGUGGGGUAAAGGCCUACCAAGCCGACGAUCUGUAGCUGGUCUGAGAGGACGACCAGCCACACUGGGACUGAGACACGGCCCAGACUCCUACGGGAGGCAGCAGUGGGGAAUUUUGGACAAUGGGCGCAAGCCUGAUCCAGCCAUGCCGCGUGCAGGACGAAGGCCUUCGGGUUGUAAACUGCUUUUGUACGGAACGAAAAGGCUCUGGCUAAUACCUGGGGCUCAUGACGGUACCGUAAGAAUAAGCACCGGCUAACUACGUG